UACAGAGGUCCCAAGCGUUGUUCGGAUUCACUGGGCGUAAAGGGUGCGUAGGUGGCCAGGUAAGUCUGAUGUGAAAUCUCGGAGCUUAACUCCGAAACUGCAUUGGAUACUAUCUGGCUAGAGGGUCGGAGGGGAGACUGGAAUUCUCGGUGUAGCAGUGAAAUGCGUAGAUAUCGAGAGGAACACCAGUGGCGAAGGCGAGUCUCUGGACAGUUCCUGACACUGAGGCACGAAGGCCAGGGGAGCAAACGGG
rnacentral:rRNA from 1 species